UACAGGGGGGGCAAGCGUUGUUCGGAAUUACUGGGCGUAAAGGGCUCGUAGGCGGCCAACUAAGUCACACGUGAAAUCCCCAGGCUUAACCUGGGAACUGCGUGUGAUACUGGAUGGCUUGAAUUCGGGAGAGGGAUGCAGAAUUCCAGGUGUAGCGGUGAAAUUCGUAGAUAUCGGGAGGAACACCAGUGGCGAAGGCGGCGAUCUGGGUCGAUACUGACGCUGAGGUGCGAAAGCGUGGGGAGCAAACAGG
rnacentral:rRNA from 1 species